CACGUAGGGUGCGAGCGUUGUCCGGAAUUAUUGGGCGUAAAGAGCUCGUAGGCGGUGUGUCGCGUCGGCCGUGAAAACCUGCAGCUUAACUGUGGGCUUGCGGUCGAUACGGGCAUCACUGGAGUUCGGCAGGGGAGACUGGAAUUCCUGGUGUAGCGGUGAAAUGCGCAGAUAUCAGGAGGAACACCGGUGGCGAAGGCGGCAUCCUGGACCAACACUGACGCUGAGGAGCGAAAGCCAGGGGAGCAAACGGG
rnacentral:rRNA from 1 species